rnacentral:lncRNA from 1 species
GUGCUGCUGCCGUCUCGGGACCACCCCCAUCCUGCCUGGCAUCACCCCUGUGUGCCUGUGCCCAUGGCCUGAGCCGAGACCGGGAUUCACAGCCUGACUUCCUGGAGUCCACGUCCCUCCUGGAUUUCCUGGAGGGCCAGGUGUUGGCCCUUGUAGCCUGUAUGCUGCCUGGCCCAGGUUCAGCGUCAUUGCUGGAAAGACACAGCGGACCACAUUCUGCCUGACCUUGGAUGUGGUCACAAGGUGGGGAGGGCACAUCUACCUUCCUUCCUUGGAGCCAGCCUCUCAGGAUCUUCUGAAGCUGGGGAGCAGUUGGAGUACAAGCUGAACCCAGAGUGUUCAGGAAACCGAGGGGAAUUCCAAGCAGCCGUGACCCUCCAGCCCAGGCUCCUCUGUGUGAGCAGGACCUUUCACAGUGAGUGGACAAGGUGGGGAGUGAUUUCUGCUGGGUCAGCGUGGACCUGCCAACUUCAGAAGUGUGUCCUGAUCCAUCCUGGGGCGGUGAAAUUGCAUUGAUGUGGACACACAGCCCCCGAGGAUAAGGAACGCAUUUUUAUUUUAUUUUAUUUUAGGUUCUGGGAUACAUGUGCAGAAGGUACAGGUUUGUUACACAGGUAAAUGUGUGCCAUGGUGGUAUACUGCACCUAUCAACCCGUCGUCACCUAGGUAUAUUAAGCCCUGCAUGCAUUAGCUAUUUGAAGAACGGCAUUUUUUUGUUUUUGUUUUUGUUUUGAGACAGAGUCUCAUUCGGUCACCCAGGCGGGACUGCAAAGGCACGAUCUCAGCUCACUGCGUCUUCCACCUUCCGGGUUCAAGCGUUUCUCCUGACUCAGCCUCCCAAGUAGCUGGGAUUACAGGCUCACGCCACCAUGGCCAGCUAAUUUUUGUAUUUUUACUAGAGACAGGGUUUCACCAUAUUGGCCAGGCUGGUCUCAAACUCCUGACCUCAAGUGAUCCUCUUGCCUCGACCUCCCAAGUGCUGGGAUUACAGGCGGGAGCCACUGGCACCUGGCCAGACAGCAUUUUUUAAUGUGGCCUGUUUGAUAAGUCCUUGGUAAUAUUGAUAGAGUGUUUGCCAGUUAAGAAGUAGAAACCAGUGACGGUGGGCCAUGAAAAUGAUCACAUAUUGGCCCUUUCAUUUCGUGAAAUUGCACCGACACUUCCCCUGUGGCAGGAUGGCACGCCCACAUUUCAUAGGAAGGCUUUGCUCUCUGCCGUGUGCUCCUCUGCGUGGACAGAAAGGAGCAAAGAGGAAGAGGACCACAGCAUGAAGUGGGGACGCAGGUGCCUGCGGAGGACACUUGUGUCUCUUGGGAACACUUGUGUAUAUUUUAAUUUUUUUUUAAUUCCAGAGAACUCCUUGUCCUGGCAAUCCUGUGUUGAUUUAUUUAUGGUUCUGAAAUUGUUGCCAGGCUGGACACCUGCCUGGGGCAGGCCAGUGGCCCACACUGUCCCUCGUGCUGGUUUCUAAGGCCCAGCCUCUCCAAUAACAUUUUAAAUGGCUUCUAAAUUGCUUCAUUUAUUAAAUAUUCACUGUGAGAACAAAAAAGAGGAUAAUUCAUUUUGGUGGAAGGGUUUCCUUUCCCCCUAAAAACUUUGUAGAAAAACAGCCCGUAAUAAUGGCAGACUUCGUAGGUGUCCGGUGGGAGAACAGGGCAGUCUGUUCAAGGCAUAAAUGAAACGAUCUCCCAACUCACUUGGACAAACGGGGAGUCAAGGAGGUGUAAGACUUCAUGAGCAAGCUGUGUCCUUGGCUGCCACCUGCGCUGGGAACCCCGGAAACCUGGGAGCGUGUACCGCUGCCCCUUCCAUGGGGCCCUGAGCUGCCGCAGGGUUCGAGUUAAACAGCCACAAUCCAUCACUGUUUAUGAGAAAUCCUUGAGGCUUGGCUGGCUUCCUUCUCCCGGGACAAGGAUGAGGAGAUACAGGGAGCAAAAACAGAAGGAGUUACCCAGCCCAGAAGCAAAGCACUGCACGUGAGCACAGCCCACUCCUCUCUUCGGUGAGAGCCGUCUGCUCCCGAACAUGCUCUGAAUCUGUUGGUUCAUUCCGCACAGCUGGACUGGAGACCUCGGCAUUGCCUGGUUUGGGCUCACAGAGGCGGUGGGGGGCAACGCACAGUGCAGGGACAGGACCAGAGGACGAGGGCUGCCCAGGCAUGUCCAGGAGAGAGCAGUGCUUUGCACUCCAGCACCUCCCCUGCCAUGCUUUGGCCUGGAUUAUCCCCCGCCCCUGCCUCUGAAACUUGCACACUUGGCCUGUGCAGGGGAGGAGGGCAAAGCUGCUCAGCUUCCACCGGAAUCUUCGCUUCUCUUUCAAGAUCCUUCCCUCCUGUGUGAGUUUCCUGCGGCUGCUGGAACAAAACACCACGGACUGGGCGUCACAACAACUGAAAUUUAUUUUCAUGGUUCUGGGGGCCAGAGGCUAAUCUUGUCGAUAAAGCCUUGUUUUCCCUGAAGGCUCUAAGGGAGGAUCCUUCCUGCCCCACCCACUACCCCCCACCCCACAGCUUCUGGGAGCUCCAGGCAUCCCCUGGCCUGUGGCUGCAUCGCUCCAGUCUCUGUCUCCAUCCCCACACAGCCUUCUUCCUGGUGUUGGUGUCUUCUCCUCUGUGUGUCUGUAAUGAGGACACUUGUCAUUGGAUUUAGGGCCCACUUGGAUAAUGCAGGAUGAUCUCAUCUCAAG